CCCUUAGAUGUUCUGGGCCGCACGCGCGCUACACUGACGAAUGCAACGAGCUUAUAACCUUGGCCGAAAGGUCUGGGUAAUCUCCAAAUUUCGUCGUGAUGGGGAUAGAUUAUUGCAAUUAUUAAUCUUCAACGAGGAAUGCCUAGUAAGCGCAAGUCAUCAGCUUGCGUUGAUUACGUCCCUGCCCUUUGUACACACCGCCCGUCGCUCCUACCGAUUGAAUGGUCCGGUGAAGCGUUCGGACCGUGGCCUUUGGACGGUUCGCCGUCUGUUGGCUGCGGGAAGAUACGCAAACCUUAUCAUUUAGAGGAAGGAGAAGUCGUAACA
rnacentral:rRNA from 1 species